rnacentral:lncRNA from 10 species
CAGGGUUUCACCGUGUUAGCCAGGAUGGUCUCGAUCUCCUGACCUCAUGAUCCGCCCGCCUCUGCCUCCCAAAGUGCUGGGAUUACAGGCGUGAGCCACGGCUCUCCUUCAGUUCUUUUUGGAAUGUUACAUCUGUACUUGGGGUAGGGGUAGGGGUAGGGGUCAGACUGCUCAUGAGGAAAAAAGUGGGACAGGCAGAGGGCGAUGUAGCCUUUACUUAGGAGAAGUAUAGAAAUUAAGGAAGCUUAUAAAAUUAUGAUUUAUUAUUGCAGUCGAGCUGUCUUCUGGGCUUUAUCAGACAUUUCGUAUAAAUACUCAUUUAAUCCUCAACAACAUUAGGAGGUAUGAGGUCCACUUCCUGUUUUGUUUGUUGUUGUUCAUAAACCUGAGACUUAGAAAUCAAAGUUAACUUGUUCAGGGUCACAGAGGCUAGUUAAGGGGCAAGCCAGCAUUUGAACCUGGCUUGCCACUGCAAACACCCUGCCUGCUAUACUGGUUAAAAACAUUGUUUCUUCCAGGUGUGGUGGCUCAUGCCUGUAAUACCAACACUUUGGGAGGCCGAGGUGACCAGCCUGCCCAACAUGGUGAAACCCCAUCUCUACUAAAAACACAAAAAAAAUUGUCUAGGUAUGGUGGCUCUCACCUGUAAUUACAGCACUUUGGGAGGCCAAUGCGGGCGGAUCACUUGAGGUCAGGAGUUCAAGACCAGACUGGCCAACAUGGUGAAACCGUCUCUACUAAAACUACAAAAAUUAGCCAGGAGUGGUGGUGGGCGCCUGUAAUCCCAGCUACCUGGGAGGCUGAGGCAGGAGAAUCAUUUGAACCCAGGAGGUAGAGGUUGCAGUGAGCUGAGAUCACGCCACUGCACUUCAGCCUGGGUGACAAGACCGAAACUCCACCUCAAAAAAAAGAAAACAAAAAUUAUCCAGGCUUGGUGGCGGGUGCCUGUAAUCCCAGCUACUCAGGAGGUUGAGGCAGGAGAAUUGCUUGAACCUGGGAGGCGGAGGUUGCAGUGAGCCGAGAUCGCAUCAUUGCAUUCCAACCUGGGCAACAAGAGUGAGACUCUGUCUCAAAAAAAAAAAAAAAAACAACAUUGUUUGAAGGGCUGUUGGGGUGGCUCAUGCCUGUUCUCCCAGCACUUUGGGAGGCUGAGGUGAAGGAUCGCUUGUGGCUAGGAGUUACAGAUUAGCCUGGGCAACAUAGUGAGGCCUGCCUGUCACUAUAAAAUAAUAAUGAAAAGUUGAACUUAGUUAACCAAGAACUGUAAGUUGUUUUCUUUUUCUGUCCUUUUGUGUAUUUGGCUUUGUUGCCUUGUUACCUCUGCUUUCCCCACUGAAAGACCUUUUGUUGAUAGAACAGGUACUGUAUUGAUGAUCUGAAAUUUUUGCCUCAAGUUGUAGAUAUGAAUUGACUUCUUUGAAGAUGAGAAACUGGAAGGCAGGAAACACUAAGGCCCAUAGUGGCUGAUUAGUGGUGGGAGGUUGAGGGUCUGAGGUGCUGUGGCAAUGAUGGGUACUUGCAAAACCUAAAGCGAGAAACUCAGGAUGAGAGGAUCUUACAGUUCAUGUAGUCCAACUCCCUCACUUGAAAAGUGUGACGACAACAGUCUAGGGAGGUUUAGGUUACUCACCUAAGGUCACGCAGGUGGUUACUGACAGUGGAGAUAGCAAAGAAAUGGGAGUUUGGGGUGCCAUCAUGGGAUGGGGGCAAAAAAGAGCUCUGGGAAUGUGUGAGGAGUCUGGCCCCGCCUGUGCUGUAGGAGGGCCUAAAGGUUUGCCUACAAACUUUUUCUUGGUACGUAAGGACAUGAGUGCAAAUAAAGCAGGAAGGAAAACAGAAAUACGCUGGUCGCGGUGGCUCACGCCUGUAAUCCCAGCACUUUGGGAGGCCGAGGCGGGCGGAUCACAAGGUCAGGAGUUGGAGACCAGGCUGGCCAACAUAGUGAAACCCCAUCUCUACUAAAAAUACAAA